rnacentral:rRNA from 1 species
GGAGUUGUUGCUGGCCUCUAGGGGCAUGUGCACGCUUCACUAGUCUUUCAACCACCUGUGAACUUUUGAUAGAUCUGUGAAGUCGUCCUUCAAGUCGUCAGACUUGGUUUGCUGGGAUUUAAACGUCUCGGUGUGACAACGCAGUCUAUUUACUUAACACACCCCAAAUGUAUGUCUACGAAUGUCAUUUAAUGGGCCUUGUGCCUAUAAACCAUAAUACAACUUUCAACAACGGAUCUCUUGGCUCUCGCAUCGAUGAAGAACGCAGCGAAAUGCGAUAAGUAAUGUGAAUUGCAGAAUUCAGUGAAUCAUCGAAUCUUUGAACGCACCUUGCGCCCCUUGGUAUUCCGAGGGGCAUGCCUGUUUGAGUGUCAUUAAAUUCUCAAACUCACAUUUAUUUGUGAUGUUUGGAUUGUUGGGGGUUGCUGGCUGUAACAAGUCGGCUCCUCUUAAAUGCAUUAACAGGACUUCUCAUUGCCUCUGCGCAUGAUGUGAUAAUUAUCACUCAUCAAUAGCACGCAUGAAUAGAGUCCAGCUCUCUAAUCGUCCGCAAGGACAAUUUGACAAUUUGACCUCAAAUCAGGUAGGACUACCCGCUGAACUUAAGCAUAUC